UAUAGGAAAUAUGUCACACAUGCAAAUUAUGUACUUACUUAUCGCUAACAGUGUAAGCUAUCCUGGUCAGAAUCUGCGGGCUACAGCAGGCUCGGCUGAAAUCUGCUUGUGUCACUGAAAACUAAACUCCACCUAAACAGUGUUAAGAAGUAAAAGUCUGUAAAGUCAAAAAUGAACUGGAUACCAGGAAUGCAGUUUGGACUUUUAGUGGUCAUGACUAUUCUCUCGGGACUGACUCCACUGGGUUUUUGUACCAACUGUAAAUUAAAUGAAACCUGCACUAACAUUGUGUUGUUUGAUGGUGACUAUACUGGACCGGUACCACUGCCAUAUUCUACCUGUAGUAAUCAAUCACGUGUAUCAGAAUCAAACACCUGUGCUUUCUCCUUUGAAGUGGAUGAACUGAUCACCGCCAAUCUUACGUCUCUAGAUGAUCUACUAAAAGGUGUGUCUUCUGUAGUUACAAAAUGUAUUCUGUCUUUGUAAGUUUCUAGCACUUAUACAAUAAAUAACGAAA
rnacentral:lncRNA from 1 species